rnacentral:lncRNA from 1 species
AGGGCAGCCAGGACCAUCAGCUCGGUGCCAGCCAUAGCAAUAGUUUCAGACCCGUGGAGUCAGCUGUGCUGUUGCCAACCUCCAUCACCUGUCCGCCUUUAUCCUGGGCUCUGUUCCUGUGGAUUUGAACAAAUAGAUGAGCGGCAUCGGAAGAAAGCUUUAGCUGCAUGUGUUUGGGUGACCACGAGAGGGCAGCACGUAAGAGACCAGUGUCGGCCCCGCUGCCUUCUUGAACACACCGGAAGCCUCCUAGGAAAACUGCAGAUUUUGUCAGACUGUGAAGUAGAAGAGUCAAAGAGCCUUCAUUGCUUCCUUUUAAAUGACCAGCCUACUAAGGAAUUUAGAAUGCCCAAGUAAGGACUGCUGGUCAGACUGGACUUCAAAAUUCCUGGAUCCUUAAGACCCAAUGCAUCAGACAAAUGUCCUGCUGGAUCCUCCCACCGUCAGCUAAGGGACAGUGCUAGCUCUCUGGUGAGGGAGAUCCGUGUGGAGGUCUCUGGCAUUCCUGGGUCAGUGGAUGGCUGGGAGAACUGCUCAGCUCCAGGUUCCAGGGCCUCUGAUCAAAGCCAACCCUGGGGGCCAGCCAGAGAUAUCGCAAACCUAAGGACUAACGUGGAAUCUACACCUGCCUUGGGAGUAAAGAA